GAGUUUGAUCAUGGCUCAGAUUGAACGCUGGCGGCAGGCCUAACACAUGCAAGUCGAACGGUAACAGGAAGCAGCUUGCUGCUUCGCUGACGAGUGGCGGACGGGUGAGUAAUGUCUGGGAAACUGCCUGAUGGAGGGGGAUAACUACUGGAAACGGUAGCUAAUACCGCAUAAUGUCGCAAGACCAAAGAGGGGGACCUUCGGGCCUCUUGCCAUCGGAUGUGCCCAGAUGGGAUUAGCUUGUUGGUGGGGUAACGGCUCACCAAGGCGACGAUCCCUAGCUGGUCUGAGAGGAUGACCAGCCACACUGGAACUGAGACACGGUCCAGACUCCUACGGGAGGCAGCAGUGGGGAAUAUUGCACAAUGGGCGCAAGCCUGAUGCAGCCAUGCCGCGUGUAUGAAGAAGGCCUUCGGGUUGUAAAGUACUUUCAGCGGGGAGGAAGGGAGUAAAGUUAAUACCUUUGCUCAUUGACGUUACCCGCAGAAGAAGCACCGGCUAACUCCGUGCCAGCAGCCGCGGUAAUACGGAGGGUGCAAGCGUUAAUCGGAAUUACUGGGCGUAAAGCGCACGCAGGCGGUUUGUUAAGUCAGAUGUGAAAUCCCCGGGCUCAACCUGGGAACUGCAUCUGAUACUGGCAAGCUUGAGUCUCGUAGAGGGGGGUAGAAUUCCAGGUGUAGCGGUGAAAUGCGUAGAGAUCUGGAGGAAUACCGGUGGCGAAGGCGGCCCCCUGGACGAAGACUGACGCUCAGGUGCGAAAGCGUGGGGAGCAAACAGGAUUAGAUACCCUGGUUGUCCACGCCGUAAACGAUGUCGACUUGGAGGUUGUGCCCUUGAGGCGUGGCUUCCGGAGCUAACGCGUUAAGUCGACCGCCUGGGGAGUACGGCCGCAAGGUUAAAACUCAAAUGAAUUGACGGGGGCCCGCACAAGCGGUGGAGCAUGUGGUUUAAUUCGAUGCAACGCGAAGAACCUUACCUGGUCUUGACAUCCACGGAAGUUUUCAGAGAUGAGAAUGUGCCUUCGGGAACCGUGAGACAGGUGCUGCAUGGCUGUCGUCAGCUCGUGUUGUGAAAUGUUGGGUUAAGUCCCGCAACGAGCGCAACCCUUAUCCUUUGUUGCCAGCGGUCCGGCCGGGAACUCAAAGGAGACUGCCAGUGAUAAACUGGAGGAAGGUGGGGAUGACGUCAAGUCAUCAUGGCCCUUACGACCAGGGCUACACACGUGCUACAAUGGCGCAUACAAAGAGAAGCGACCUCGCGAGAGCAAGCGGACCUCAUAAAGUGCGUCGUAGUCCGGAUUGGAGUCUGCAACUCGACUCCAUGAAGUCGGAAUCGCUAGUAAUCGUGGAUCAGAAUGCCACGGUGAAUACGUUCCCGGGCCUUGUACACACCGCCCGUCACACCAUGGGAGUGGGUUGCAAAAGAAGUAGGUAGCUUAACCUUCGGGAGGGCGCUUACCACUUUGUGAUUCAUGACUGGGGUGAAGUCGUAACAAGGUAACCGUAGGGGAACCUGCGGUUGGAUCACC
rnacentral:rRNA from 1 species